rnacentral:rRNA from 1 species
GCCCAAGGUAAGGAAUAACGUCGAGAAAUCGGCGCUAAUACCUCAUAAUGCAGCGGAUCCGCAUGGAUAUGUUGUUAAAGGUUUACCGCCUUGGGAUAGGCUUGCGUCUGAUUAGCUAGUUGGUGUGGUAAUGGCGCACCAAGGCUACGAUCAGUAACUGGGUCUGAGAGGAUGAUCAGUCACACUGGAACUGAGACACGGGUCCAGACUCCUACGGGAGGCAGCAGUGAGGAAUAUUGGGCAAUGCACGAAAGUGUGACCCAGCAACGCCGCGUGGAGGAUGAAGGUAUUCUAUAUCGUAAACUCCUGUGAGAGCAGACGAAAGACAGAUUAUUAAUUUGGAUGACUGUAUGCUCAGAGGAAGCCCCGGCUAACUACGUG